UACGUAGGGGGCAAGCGUUGUCCGGAAUCAUUGGGCGUAAAGCGCGUGUAGGCGGCCUUGUAAGUCCGUUCUGAAAGUCCGGGGCUCAACCCCGGGAGGCGGAUGGAUACUGCAAGGCUCGAGUACGGAAGAGGCGAGUGGAAUUCCCGGUGUAGCGGUGAAAUGCGCAGAUAUCGGGAGGAACACCAAUGGCGAAGGCAGCUCGCUGGGACGUUACUGACGCUGAGACGCGAAGGCGUGGGGAGCAAACAGGG
rnacentral:rRNA from 1 species